rnacentral:rRNA from 1 species
AGGGUUUGAUCCUGGCUCAGGAUGAACGCUGGCGGUGCGCCUAAUACAUGCAAGUCGAACGAGAAGCUUGGAUUUAUUCAAGUGGAAAGUGGCGGACGAGCGAGUAACAUACAAGAAUCUGCCCUAUACUCAGGGAUAACUCUUCGAAAGAAGAGCUAAUACCGGAUAGCCUGGAAACAGUAAAGCUUUUGCGGUAUAGGAGGAGCUUGUAUUCUAUCAGUUUGUUGGUGGGGUAAAGGCCUACCAAGACUACGACAGAUAGCUGGUGUGAGAGCAUGACCAGCCGCGAUGGGACUGAGACACGGCCCAUACUCCUACGGGAGGCAGCAGUAAGGAAUCUUCCGCAAUGGACGAAAGUCUGACGGAGCGACACCGCGUGCAGGACGACACCCCUCGGGGCGUAAACUGCUUUUUUGGGGGAAGAAAAUCUGACGGUACCCCAAGAAUAAGGACCGGCUAAUUACGUGCCAGCAGCCGCGGUAAUACGUAAGGUCCAAGCGUUAUCCGGAAUCAUUGGGCGUAAAGCGUCCGCAGGUGGUUGUACAAGUCUGUCAUUAAAUACCGGUGCUCAACAUCGGAACCGUGAUGGAAACUGUAUAACUAGAGGAUGGGAGAGGAGUGUGGAAUUAUGCAAGUAGGGGUAAAAUCCGUAGAUAUGCAUAGGAAUACCAAAAGCGAAGGCAACACUCUGGACCAUUCCUGACACUCAUGGACGAAAGCGUGGGGAGCGAAACGGAUUAGAUACCCGUGUAGUCCACGCCGUAAACGAUGCGUGCUCGGUGUAGGGACCCUUGACCUGGUCUCUGUGCCUAAGGUAACCCGUUAAGCACGCCGCCUGUGUAGUACGAUCGCAAGAUUAAAACACAAAGGAAUAGACGGGGACCCACACAAGCGGUGGAUCGUGGGGUUUAAUUCGUCAUUAAGCGAGAAAUCUCACCCAGACUUGACAUCCUAGUCAUACUUUCUAGAAAUAGAAGGGUCGGUUCGGCCGGACUAGUGACAGGUGCUGCAUGGUUGUCGUCAGCUCGUGCCUUGAGGUGUUCGGUUAAGUCCGUAAACGAGCGCAACCCUCAUCCUAUGUUGUAUUUUCAUGGGAGACUGCCAGUCAUAAACUGGAGGAAGGUGAGGAUGACGUCAAAUCAGCAUGGCCCUUAUGUCUGGGGCUACACCCGCGAUACAAUGGCCAGUACAAACUGAAGCGAAAGGGCAACCUGGAGCAAAUCGGAUAAAACUGGUCUCAGUUCGGAUUGAAGUCUGAAACUCGACUUCAUGAAGUUGGAAUCGCUAGUAACCGUGUAUCAGCUAUGGCACGGUGAAUAUGUUCCUGGGUCUUGUACUCACUGCCCGUCAAGGCAUGGAAGCUGGGGGCGCUCGAAGUCUUCUCAUUUAGAGAGGCCUAAGGCGAAAUCAGUGACUGGGCUUAAGUCGUAACAAGGUAGCCG